GUCGACCCCUAAGGCGAGGCCGAAAGGCGUAGUCGAUGGGAAACGGGUUAAUAUUCCCGUACUUGGUGUUACUGCGAAGGGGGGACGGAGAAGGCUAUGUUGGCCGGGCGACGGUUGUCCCGGUUUAAGCGUGUAGGUGUGUGUUCCAGGUAAAUCCGGUUCACUUUAACACUGAGGCGUGACGACGAGGCACUACGGUGCUGAAGCAACAAAUGCCCUGCUUCCAGGAAAAGCCUCUAAGCAUCAGGUAACAUCAAAUCGUACCCCAAACCGACACAGGUGGUCAGGUAGAGAAUACCAAGGCGCUUGAGAGAACUCGGGUGAAGGAACUAGGCAAAAUGGUGCCGUAACUUCGGGAGAAGGCACGCUGACACGUAGGUGAAGUGAUUUACUCAUGGAGCUGAAGUCAGUCGAAGAUACCAGCUGGCUGCAACUGUUUAUUAAAAACACAGCACUGUGCAAACACGAAAGUGGACGUAUACGGUGUGACGCCUGCCCGGUGCCGGAAGGUUAAUUGAUGGGGUCAGCGCAAGCGAAGCUCCUGAUCGAAGCCCCGGUAAACGGCGGCCGUAACUAUAACGGUCCUAAGGUAGCGAAAUUCCUUGUCGGGUAAGUUCCGACCUGCACGAAUGGCGUAAUGAUGGCCAGGCUGUCUCCACCCGAGACUCAGUGAAAUUGAACUCGCUGUGAAGAUGCAGUGUACCCGCGGCAAGACGGAAAGACCCCGUGAACCUUUACUAUAGCUUGACACUGAACAUUGAGCCUUGAUGUGUAGGAUAGGUGGGAGGCUUUGAAGUGUGGACGCCAGUCUGCAUGGAGCCGACCUUGAAAUACCACCCUUUAAUGUUUGAUGUUCUAACGUGGACCCGUGAUCCGGGUUGCGGACAGUGUCUGGUGGGUAGUUUGACUGGGGCGGUCUCCUCCUAAAGAGUAACGGAGGAGCACGAAGGUUGGCUAAUCCUGGUCGGACAUCAGGAGGUUAGUGCAAUGGCAUAAGCCAGCUUGACUGCGAGCGUGACGGCGCGAGCAGGUGCGAAAGCAGGUCAUAGUGAUCCGGUGGUUCUGAAUGGAAGGGCCAUCGCUCAACGGAUAAAAGGUACUCCGGGGAUAACAGGCUGAUACCGCCCAAGAGUUCAUAUCGACGGCGGUGUUUGGCACCUCGAUGUCGGCUCAUCACAUCCUGGGGCUGAAGUAGGUCCCAAGGGUAUGGCUGUUCGCCAUUUAAAGUGGUACGCGAGCUGGGUUUAGAACGUCGUGAGACAGUUCGGUCCCUAUCUGCCGUGGGCGCUGGAGAACUGAGGGGGGCUGCUCCUAGUACGAGAGGACCGGAGUGGACGCAUCACUGGUGUUCGGGUUGUCAUGCCAAUGGCACUGCCCGGUAGCUAAAUGCGGAAGAGAUAAGUGCUGAAAGCAUCUAAGCACGAAACUUGCCCCGAGAUGAGUUCUCCCUGAGACUUAAAGUCUCCUGAAGGAACGUUGAAGACGACGACGUUGAUAGGCCGGGUGUGUAAGCGCAGCGAUGCGUUGAGCUAACCGGUACUAAUGAACCGUGAGGCUUAACCUU
rnacentral:rRNA from 1 species